rnacentral:rRNA from 1 species
UACAGAGGUCCCGAGCGUUGUUCGGAUUCACUGGGCGUAAAGGGUGCGCAGGUGGCGCUUCAAGUUUGAUGUGAAAGCUUCGGGCUCAACCCGGAAAUGGCAUUGAAUACUGAAGUGCUGGAGGUUUGGAGGGGGGACUGGAAUUCUCGGUGUAGCAGUGAAAUGCGUAGAUAUCUGGAGGAACACCGGUGGCGAAGGCGGCAUCCUGGACCGGCAUUGACGCUGAGACGCGAAAGCGUGGGGAGCAAACAGG